CCCAGUUCUCCAGAACAAGGUUGGGGAUUUGAAUGGGGUCAUGUAGACUGAUAGUAAAUAUCCAGCUGGAUAAUCCAGGGACAUGAACCCAAUAUUUAGAGGCCAGAAACCAUGAAAAAAUAAAAAAUUCAAGAAGCUGAUUCCUAGAAUCCCUGCCUACAUUCCAGUUGGUUGUUUUACAUGUCUCCUGCGUACUGCUGAAUUCUAAGCUCCAUGAAGGCAAGCUCACUGCUGUAUCCCCAGUCCAUCACCUAGGACAGUGGGACUCAGUAAGUAUUUGGUGAAUGGAUCAGCACAUAAAUG
rnacentral:lncRNA from 1 species